rnacentral:rRNA from 1 species
AUUGAACGCUGGCGGCAGGCCUAACACAUGCAAGUCGAACGGUAACAGGAAGAAGCUUGCUUCUUUGCUGACGAGUGGCGGACGGGUGAGUAAUGUCUGGGAAACUGCCUGAUGGAGGGGGAUAACUACUGGAAACGGUAGCUAAUACCGCAUAACGUCGCAAGACCAAAGAGGGGGACCUUCGGGCCUCUUGCCAUCGGAUGUGCCCAGAUGGGAUUAGCUAGUAGGUGGGGUAACGGCUCACCUAGGCGACGAUCCCUAGCUGGUCUGAGAGGAUGACCCGCCCCCCUGGAAACUAGAAACGGUCCCAACUCCCAAGGGAGGGCAGCGGGGGGAAAAUUGGCACAAUGGGGGCAACCUGAUGCAGGCCUGGCCGCGUGAUUGAAAAAGCCCUUCGGUUUUAAAAUUCCUUUCGGCGGGAGGAAGGGAGUAAAGUUAAUACCUUUGCUCAUUGACGUUACCCGCAGAAGAAGCACCGGCUAACUCCGUG